rnacentral:tRNA from 2 species
GUGCCCGUAUCUGAUCACCUUGACAUGGUGGGGGUCGUUGGUUCGAGUCCAAUCGCGCCUACCA